rnacentral:rRNA from 1 species
AUAGUGGCAGAUGGGUGAGUAACACGUGGGUAAUUUACCUGCAAGACCGAGAUAACCUGCUGAAAGGCGGGCUAAUAUCGGGUGAUACCUCGUGAACGCAUGUUCUUAAGGUUAAAGGUGGCUUCCCCCGACGUCACGUCGGGGGGCGCUGUUACUUGUAGAUGAGCCCGCGUCCUAUCAGCUUGUUGGUAGGGUAAUGGCCUACCAAGGCUUUGACGGGUAGCUGGUCUGAGAGGACGGUCAGCCACACUGGGACUGAGACACUGCCCAGACUCCUACGGGAGGCUGCAGUCGAGAAUCUUUUGCAAUGGGCGAAAGCCUGACAAUGUGACGCCGCGUGAGGGAUGAAGGUCUUCGGAUUGUAAACCUCUGUCAGGCAGGAUGAAACCUUGCACUUUGAAUAGAGGUGUGAGUUGACAGUACUGCCAGAGGAAGCCACGGCUAACUUCGUGCCAGCAGCCGCGGUAAUACGGGGGUGGCAAGCGUUGUUCGGAUUCAUUGGGUGUAAAGGGCAUGUAGGCGCCCCGUUAAGUUUUCGGUGAAAUCCUUUCGCUUAACGGAAGAACUGCCGAGAAAACUGUCGGGGUUGAGUGCAGAAGAGGAGAGCGGAAUUUCCGGUGUAAGGGUGAAAUCUGUAGAUAUCGGAAGGAACGCUAGUGGCGAAGGCGACUCUCUGGGCUGCAACUGACGCUGAAAUGCGAAAGCUAGGGGAGCAAACAGGAUUAGAUACCCUGGUAGUCCUAGCUGUAAACGAUGGGCACUGGGUGCUGGGAGUAAACCUUUCAGUGCCGUAGCUAACGCGUUAAGUGCCCCACCUGGGGACUACGACCGCAAGGUUGAAACUCAAAGGAAUUGACGGGGGCCCGCACAAGCGGUGGAACAUGUGGUUCAAUUCGACGCUACGCGAAGAACCUUACCAGGGCUUGACAUGCAUCAAGUAGGAAGUCGAAAGGCCUACGACUCGUAGCCAGUCGAGAGGAUGCACAGGUGUUGCAUGGCUGUCGUCAGCUCGUGCCGUGAGGUGUCGGGUUAAGUCCCAUAACGAGCGCAACUACCGUCCUUAGUUGCCAACUCUGAUUGUUUCAGUUGGAGGGCACUCUAAGGAGACUGCCGCUGUUGAAGCGGAGGAAGGUGGGAACGACGUCAAGUCAGUACGGCCCUUACGCCCUGGGCUACACACGUGUUACAAUGGCCGGUACAAUGGGUUGCAAACCCGUAAGGGGGAGCUAAUCCCAAAAAGCUGGUCUCAGUUCGGAUUGAAGGCUGCAACUCGCCUUCAUGAAGUUGGAAUCGCUAGUAAUGGCGGAUCAGAACGCCGCCGUGAAUACGUUCCCGGGCCUUGUACACACCGCCCGUCAAGCGAUGGAAGCCGGAGGUACCCGAAG